rnacentral:lncRNA from 10 species
AUUCUCUGAAGAGUGCACUAGAGCGGAAGAAACAACACUGUCAAAUGGACAGCAUUCCCACUUUGCCACAACUCUGGUGGCUGCAGAACGACUGAAGGCCUCCAAAUGUCAUUAAGAAAAUGUAUUCACAAAACAAAGACGAUAGCACACUGAGUUCAUGGACAAGCUACCACUCCCCUAACCCCACCCCAAGGAGGAAGGUGACGUCUGAAUAGUGUCUGAGCCUCAACUUGGUUCCAGGCACUGCCCCUGGGCCCGAGGUGUGCACCAGUAAAAGCCCUUUUACACUCGAAGGCUGCCAACAAAAUAACAUGCUGCAGUAACUGCCUCUGAUGAGAGGAGCUUCUGCUUCAGUUGUUGCAAUUGAGCAGUGACCCUUGCUGAUAAACCUGUGGAUUUUGGUAUCUGUGGGAGGUCCCAGAACAAAUCCCCCAUGGGCAUCAAGGGAAAACUGUCUAUGGUACCACUAUGAUGUCUUAUAGGCUAUGUCAAGCUUGUGAAAUUAAAGAACAAAGUCUGUUGUGGAGAAGAAGAAAAAACUUAGUUCUAUGCCAUCCCCUUGGUGGUGUAUAUAAUCAAGGCUCACAGAAAUAUCCAAGUUCCAAGUAGAUUCUCACUGUCUGGGACAGAAGGCAUGCCACAAGGUUUGGCUGCUGAAUGUAUCUGUGAACACUUAAUUAAUGAGCAAAAGAAAUAAUUGCCUGACAGUGCCCACUGGAUCACUUAAGUCUCCGGAACCAACACGCAACGCUGGGCAGAGUAUUGAGAAAAAAGAAAAACAAGCAAACACCACAAAAAGGGCAAGCAAGAAACCAGAAGGAGGAAAGUUAUAAAUAGCAUCAUUAUUAAAUAGAGGUUUUGAGAGCUAAUUAGUAAGGGUAAAGAGAGAGAAGUCAUCAAUGCAAAGAAUUAACACAAAGGCUGAGAAGGAGGCUCAGGAAUCGUCCUCUAGCUGGGCUGUUGGGAUGGUAUAGGUUAUAGGAUGCUUCCCCUUCCUUCACACAUUUUUUACAAUAGCUUUAUUGAGAUCUAAUUCACAUACCCUAUAACUCACCCAUUUAGAGUGUACAAUUUGGUAGCUUUUAGUAUAUUUAGAGAGUUGUACAAACACCACCACAAUUAAUCUUAACAAUAUUUUCAUCACCCCAAAGAAAAACCCAAUACCCGUUAGCCAUGCUUCCCACGCCCCUUUCCCAGGCAAUCACUAUUACACUUUUCGUCGCUAUAGAUUUGCCUAUUCUGGAUAUUUUACAUGAAUGGAAUCAGACAAUAGGUAGUGUCUUUUGUGACUGGCUUCUUUUACUUAGCAUAGGUAAUGUUUUCAAUAUUUAUCUCUGGUGUGGCAUAUAUCAGUACUUCAUUCCUUUUUAUUUUCAUUCAUAAAUUUUGACUUUCAUGAUUCAUAUCACGGGAAGAUUAGCCCUGUAACCUUUCUAUGAAUGUGCAGUGAUAAAAUCACAGGUACACUGGUCACAGGUUGGUGGAGAGAGGCCCAUCUGGACCUCAGAAUCUAUCUGCAUUCUAGAUUCAUUCUAAAGGAAAAACGAUUUGGUAACGCUAUCAAAUCAACUAAAUUGUGCCAUUCUUUGAUACCAGGAAAAAAGAGUUAAGAGACAUCCAAUCUGUCAGGGAAUGUUCACCCCCGUGUGCCUCCCCUCUGCUCCGAGUCAGCAGGACACGUGCUCUAAUGAUGGAGAAUAAAACAGUGGAAGGUGCCUCAUCUUUACAGAAAUGCCUGGCAGAGGAACUGGAUGCUAUAGCACAGAAAGCCUCCUUAGAUGGCAGCAAGGGAAAAAAGCAAAGGAAUAAAGUCCAAUAUUAAGAAGGGGCUGGGGGCGGAAUUUGGCCUUCUACUUCUUUUACUAUCACUGUAUUUUUAUAAAAUAUUCUUUUAAAAAAUAUUCUAGUGUACUCUGAAAUCAUCCCCGAAUUCUUUCUUUUAAACUCAUAUUCAAAGCCUACUUAUACAUUUGGGAAAGAGAGAUAAGUUAUAAUGGUAACGACAAAAAAUCAAGGACAAAGGCAAUGAAGAACACUGUGAAAUCCAGGCUGGACCGGCCCUGCUUCGGCGUUCUGGGGCGAGGUCAUCAUGAGCCGGGUUUCUUCACGCAUGGACACACAGUGUCGCUCUCACAACCCACAUCCCCCCUAUUUUUUUUUUCUUUGAGUCAGAGUCUUGCUCUGGCGCCCAGGCUAGAGUGCAAUGGCACAAUUUCGGCUCACUGCAACCUCCACCUCCC